rnacentral:rRNA from 1 species
AGAGUUUGAUCCUGGCUCAGAAUGAACGUUGGCGGCAUGGAUCAGGCAUGCAAGUCGGACGAAUCCCAUCUGGGCAACUGGAUGGGGGAAGUGGCGAAAGGGGCAGUAAGGCGUGGGUAACUUGCCCCGGGGUUUGGAAUAGCCAUCCUAACGGAUGGGUAAUACCGAAUGCCCUGUUUGGCUGGCAUCAGUCGAACAGGAAAGAUUUAUCGCCCCGGGAGAGGCUCACGUAGUAUUAGCUAGAUGGUGAGGUAACGGCUCACCAUGGCCAAGAUGCUUAGCAGGUGUGAGAGCACGACCUGCGCCACUGGCACUGAGACACUGGCCAGACUCCUACGGGAGGCUGCAGUCGAGGAUCUUCGGCAAUGGGCGCAAGCCUGACCGAGCGAUGCCGCGUGUGCGAUGAAGGCCUUCGGGUUGUAAA